UCGGGUUGUCUGUUGUGGCGUUAAUGGAGGAGUGUUUGAUUCGGGGUAUGGUCUUCUUCGGAUGAACAGAUGAUUAUUGAUCAUUCUUCUUGCUGCGGCGGUAUAAAUGAUGAACCGUAGUCGUGUGUGACUUACCUUAUGAAUCGGCGUUGCUGUGCGAAGUAGAGUGACAGUUUCGGCUGUCGAGGGUCGACCCAUUUGGGAAAUUGUGCGGUGCGGCUUCGGUCGCGCGGCAUCUCAAUUGGACCUGAUAUCAGGCAAGAUUACCCGCUGAACUUAAGCAUAUCAAUAAGCGGAAGA
rnacentral:rRNA from 1 species